GUUAAAGGUGGUUUUAUUGGUAUUAUGCUUUUUAUUCCUUAUUUUGACAGGAAUUAACAUGAACUGAAUGAAGGAAACUGAAGUAGUAAGGAGUUGGACUCAAAAGAAGAAGGAAAAGUGCCUAAAAGAGGAAUCACAAGGUUCACUAAGCGCAAAUCUACCGUUGAGUGCCAGCCUCGUGGUGGAGUUUUCUGGACAACACCUAAGCGCCAAUGAUGAGGGGAAAAUCAAGUGUUGCAGCACUAGUAAAAAACUGACUUUUUACAGCGCACAUUAUGCCGCGAUUCACCAGAAACUGCAGCAUAAUACUACGCGGUGGCAUUUUUGAAAAUAAAACGAACUUAUAAGUCGUGGUUGUUCUGAGAACUAUCACCUAUUCCCCAGUCAAACAUCUGCCUUUGACGCCACGUCAGAAAACCAAAAAUUCUGGGGGAAUAGGUCGCAAUUGCUCUGAGAACCACGGCCUAUUCCCCUGCAACCUUUUGACAUUCCCCACUAGUCAGCCUUACAAUAAAUUGGCAGGGGAAUAGGCCGCGGUUCUGCUAGAAACUGCGGCCUAUUCUCCUGCAAAUUUAUUUCAGGGGCGGACAACGCGAAGAAUUUCAGAAGUUGCUGGGGGAAAUAGGCCGCAGUUGCUCUGUGAACCGCGACUAUUCCCCCUGAAACUUCUGACCAUGUCAGUGGCUGUAAUAAAUUGCAUGGGGAAUAUCAAAAGUUAAAGGGAAUAGGCCGUAGUUGAACGUUAUUCUGAAAAUAAUAAGUGUGGGAGUUAGACCGUGGUUGUCGGUGGAACCGCUGUCUAUUCUCGUAUUUAGGACAAUAGGUCACAAUUGGGGAGGAAACCGCGACAUAAAGUGUGGUGAAAAUUUUCAAAAUUACCAUUUCAUUUUAAUUUUUAUUUUAUUUAAUGGGAAUAGACCGUGGUUCUCCCUAAGAACUGCGGUAGUAACGUUUAAUUAGGUUAAAAAAAAAAUAGUGAACAAUUUCUUCUUCGUCGCGAAGAAACUAUUGUAACUCUCUAUACGCUCUCCUCUUCGCCGUGCAUUGUCUGUGUACUCUGUGCAUUGUCUCUAUCACCGUGCCAUUCCUCUGAAUAUUCCAAUCAUUUGCUACUCUUCUCUCUAGCGUGCCACCAUUCUGUCGGAACUCUCCGCCACGCCAUUCUUUCUCUGCUCUUCGUCGUGCCAUCAUUUGCGCCAUUCUCGCCCUGCUCGUGUUCGUCGUAAUCACCAUGUCAAAUAGGUAAAUUUUCUUAAUCAUCAUUACCAACAAUUAUUAUACCCAUGUAUGUGAAUUAAUUAGUAUAAUUAUAAUGAUGAAUUAGUGUCUUGCGCUUUGGCUUUAUGAAAGGAUAUGCCUCUCCCUCUCUGGGUUUGAUAGCAUGUGAUGAAUAGUAAUAGUUUGAUUAGAAGAUUAGUGAUACAAAAACAGAAGAGAAAUUUAAUAGUAAUAGUUUUCUUUUUGGGAAAUGUAUUUUUACUUAAUUCUAUUUUUUGUU
rnacentral:lncRNA from 1 species